rnacentral:rRNA from 1 species
GACGAACGCUGGCGGCGUGCUUAACACAUGCAAGUCGAACGGAAAGGCCCUGCUUUUGUGGGGUGCUCGAGUGGCGAACGGGUGAGUAACACGUGAGUAACCUGCCCUUGACUUUGGGAUAAAUUCAGGAAACUGGGGCUAAUACCGGAUAGGAGCUCCUGCUGCAUGGGGGGGGUUGGAAAGUUUCGGCGGUUGGGGAUGGACUCGCGGCUUAUCAGCUUGUUGGUGGGGUAGUUGCUUACCAAGGCUUUGACGGGUAGGCCGCCUGGGAGGGGGACCGGCCACCAUGGGACUGCGAUACGGACCAGACUCCUACGGGAGGCAGCAGGGGGGAAUAUUGCACAAUGGGCGCAAGCCUGAUGCAGCAGCGCCGCGUGCGGGAUGACGGCCUUCGGGUUGUAAACCACUUUCGCCUGUGACGAAGAGUGAGUGACGGUAAUGGGUAAAGAAGCACCGGCUAACUACGUG